rnacentral:rRNA from 1 species
GACGAACGCUGGCGGCGCGCUUAACACAUGCAAGUCGAGCGAAGCGGCGUACGGGUGAGUAACACGUGAGUAACCUGCCUUAGACAUUGGGAUAGCCUCGGGAAACCGGGAUUAAUACCAAAUGGUCUAAGAGGGACUAGCGUCCCAUUAGCUAGUUGGUGAGGUAACGGCCCACCAAGGAGACGAUGGGUAGCCGGCCUGGGAGGUUGAACGGCCACAUUGGAACUGAGAAACGGUCCAAACUCUACGGGAUGCAGCAGUGGUGGAUAUUGCACAAUGGAGGGAGCUCUGAUGCAGCGACGCCGCGUGAACGAAGAAGGCUUUCGAGUCGUAAAGUUCUUUUAUAUGGGAAGCGGUACCAUAAGAAAAAGCCCCGGCUAACUACGUGCCAGCCGCCGCGGUAAUAC